rnacentral:rRNA from 1 species
AGAGCGAACGCUGGCGGCAGGCCUAACACAUGCAAGUCGAGCGCCGUAGCAAUACGGAGCGGCAGACGGGAGAGUAACACGUGGGAACGUACCCUUCAGUUCGGAACAACCCAGGGAAACUUGGGCUAAUACCGAAUACGUCCGUAAGGAGAAAGAUUUAUCGCUGAAGGAUCGGCCCGCGUCUGAUUAGCUUGUUGGUGAGGUAAUGGCUCACCAAGGCUACGAUCAGUAGCUGGUCUGAGAGGAUGAUCAGCCUCACUGGGACUGAGACACUGCCCAGACUCCUACGGGGGGCUGCAGUAACGAAUCUUCCGCAAUGCACGCAAGUGUGACGGAGCGACGCCGCGUGUGGGACGAAGUCCUUCGGGAUGUAAACCACUGUCAGGGGUUACCAAGUUCUGAGGAACCCCAGAGGAAGGCACGGCUAACUCUGUGCCAGCAGCCGC